GGUCAAGCUACUAAGAGCUUAUGGUGGAUGACUUGGCACGAGAAGACGAUGAAGGACGCGGUAAGCGGCGAUACGCUCCGGGGAGUCGCAAACAGACUUUGAUCCGGGGACUUCCGAAUGGGGGAACCCUUAGCGGGUUAUACCGCUAAAUCGCGCGCAAAAUAAAAUAUGCACGCGAAGUGAAACCGGGAGAAGUGAAACAUCUCAGUAACCCGAGGAAAAUAGAAAGACAUUGAUUUCCCAAGUAGCGGCGAGCGAACGGGAAAAAGCCUAAACCACUCAGCUUGCUGGGUGGGGUUGCGGGACCGUAAUGUGGGAUUGCGAGAGAAUAGCAGAAUGAGCUGGAAAGCUCUGCCGAAGAGGGUGAUAGCCCCGUAUGCGAAAUUCCGACGCACCCUAGCGGAAUCCCAAGUAAUGCUGGACACGUGAAACCCAGUAUGAAUCCGGCCUGACCACGGGCCAAGGCUAAAUACUCACUCGUGACCGAUAGCGCACAAGUACCAUGAGGGAAAGUUGAAAAGAACCCCUGUAAGGGGAGUGAAAUAGUACCUGAAACCGUAAGCUUACAAGCGGUGGGAGGCCUAUGACGCGUCUUCGGAUGCGUAACGGCUGACCGCGUGCCUUUUGGUUAAUGAUCCGGCGAGUUGCUGGGCGUUGCGAGGUUAAGGCCUUAUGGGCCGUAGCCGUAGCGAAAGCGAGUCCGAAUAGGGCGAAUGAGUAACGUCAAGCAGACCCGAAUGCCAGGUGAUCUACCCUUGGCCAGCGUGAAAGUUGGGUAAAACCAGCUGGAGGCGCGAACCCGUUAACGUUGAAAAGUUAUGGGAUGAGCUGAGGGUCGGAGUGAAAGGCUAAUCAAACUUGGUUAUUGCUGGUUCUCCCCGAAAUAGCUUUAGGGCUAGCCUCGCGAGGUCGCUGGCGGCGGUAGAGCACUGGAUGAGCUAAGGCCCUUACCCGGGUGCUGACCUCAACCAAACUCCGAAUGU
rnacentral:rRNA from 1 species